rnacentral:lncRNA from 1 species
AUAUGGUCAAGGAGUGUAGCUGUAAAAAAUCAUCAAAAUCGGAGUAAAAAUAACCGUUAAAUCGUGAUUUUUCGUUUAUAACCGUAAAAAUGUUUUGUCUCCUUACUUGAUCUCUGAAUGGUUGUUUUUUUGCAAUUUUUGGCAUAUGCAAUCUUAAAGUAUAUACAAACAUGUUUGACGGUUGGAUCGUUGAAACUAGUUUCGUAGAAUGCGUAUCCCAUCAAAACAAUUGAUUCACUAACACUUAAGAGUUUAUUCAUACUUUUAUCAAGUAUAACAUAAGAUUUUUGAUAUCCACUAGUGUAAAUAUUUUAAAUUGAAGAUCGAAUUCAUUCAUUGUAUUUAUAUAUGGUCAAGGAGUGUAGCUGUAAAAAAUCAUCAAAAUCGGAGUUAGAAUAACCGUUAAAUCGUGAUUUUUCGUUUAUAACCGUAAAAAUGUUUUGUCCUGUUACUUGAUCUCUGAAUGUUUGUUUUUUUGCAAUUUUUGGCAUAUGCAAUCUCAAAGUAUAUACAAACAUGUUUGACGGUUGGAUCUUUGAAACUAGUUUCGUAGAAUGCGUAUCCCA